CACGCCGUAAACGAUGAGUGCUAGGUGUUGGGAGUCAAAUUUCAGUGCCGCCGCAAACGCAUUAAGCACUCCGCCUGGGGAGUACGUGCACAAGCAUGAAACUCAAAGGAAUUGACGGGGACCCGCACAAGCAGCGGAGCAUGUGGUUUAAUUCGAAGCAACGCGAAGAACCUUACCAGGGCUUGACAUCUACCUGCUAGACUUAGAGAUAAGUCAUUCUCUUCGGAGACGGGUAGACAGGUGG
rnacentral:rRNA from 1 species